UGUAGCUUAGUGGCAGGGCCCUUGCCUAGCAUGCAAAAGACCCUGGGUUCAAUCCCUAGCA
rnacentral:tRNA from 1 species